CCUUCUAACCAAUCGGAUUGAAUAUACGUAAUUCACAGAGCAUAUAAAGACUGGUGUCUGCCUCUAAUCACAUGCUGACUGGCCCAGCUGAGCCCCAUCAUCUGUCCCUCAUCCAUCUUAAUCCUUUCAUUCAGUAGAGCUAAAGUGAAGUCCAUGGCUACCCAGGGGGAGGUGUGUAGGAGACCAUGCUACUCUUGAUGUCACUCUGAAUCACCAUUCUACUAGCAGGCAGAUAAAAAAAAAAACACAGAGCAGGAGACAAGAAAGCAGCACUGCAGACGAGCUGUUCAGCAUCAUCAGCCCUGCUCUGGAGACAGGACCUUCUUCUUCCUUAAGAGGUAAGUAGUCACAUAUUUCUGCCUCUUUUUGUUUUUUUACAGUAUCAGUACAAUUGGCAGCAUCAAAAGAAGGCUUUCACAUGUUUGUCUUGGACAAUAAUAGCUGCACCCUCUCGCAGUGAGCACUAGCAUGUGGCAGAGGGAAAUCUUUCCAGACACGUUCUGACAAUAAGGGUGUGUCCUAGCUCACUGAAAUUACUCUGUGGUUGAAAUUAUCAGCUAUAAUGACAUGAGUAGCAGCAUUUGAUCUAAUUAUGCAUAACGAUUUUUUACAUCUCCUUUCUAAUAUGUAUAGAAUAGCACAUAACAUUCCUCUGUUAAUGAAUGUGUCACUUCACAAAGCUAUUGCUUAGUUUGUAUUAAUAAAGUGUUCAAUUCCUAAUAGACCUAACCUUUUACAUGACAAAAAUGUCAAAUCAUCAAGGCAAAAAGCAAAAAAGCAAAAUUAAACAUGUAUAAUGAAACCAGAGUUAGUUUAUCAGUAAUUUAUGAAUAAACACAUCAAACAAGAUGGUUGUAGCCUAGAUGAAAUCAGUAUUUUUCUUCCUUUUUGAUACCUGUUCAGCAGACAUCAUUAGAGAACAUCCACAGAGAUUUUCUAUUGUCUCAACCUGUACACGCUGCAUUUUUAAUGCCCCAGAGUGUGGCUCCAUUAAAUUACAGUAGGUUAACUCUUAAUUAUUACACAGCAUUUAGAAUUAUUUUUCUUUGGGUGGAUUGCUCAGAGAUACAAUAUCUUAGCUCGGGGCAAAUAUUUUGGUUAUGAAGUGAACCCCACUAUUUUAUAUUCCUUGACUAAGAUAAGCAUAAUUAUAUUAAAUACACCAAAAUGUGAUCAGCAGAAUUAGCAGUGAUGAGAUACACAGUAGUUAGAGGAGGUGUGCAUAAACCCUGCGCCUGUUAACUGCAGUGAAUCUUUUACAGGUUUGAUUACUUUGGCUCAAUGACUCUAUGACUUGUUCACACUCUUUAGCCAGCGGUGAGACUAAAUGAUGAAUAUGAUAUAAAAUAGCAGGUCAUGGCCAUAUAAUUGCCAAUAAUAUUAUGUUGAUAUUGAUGAUAACCUAAAAUAUGGAGAUUUAACCUUGUGUUGUAAUAUAACAUGAGCAAGUCUAUGAGGAAAUAACCAUGAUAUAUAGAACAUGGGGCUUUUGUGGCUGAAUACAGACUGAACAUUUGUGUUCAUGCAGCAAAGCUGGAACACUACACUUUACUAUUUGUUUUUAAAUUAUGUUUAAGGCAUCAAGGUUGUGCAUCUGGUAGCAUUGCUGCCUCACAGUUCCAGGAACUCCGGUUUGAUCCCGAGCUCAGAUUACUGACUGUGUAGAGUUUUGUAUGUUCUCCACAUAUCUGCAUGGGUUUCCUCUGGGUUCUCCAGCUUCUUCCCACCUCCAAAAACAUGCAUUCAAGUGGAAUGGCCCCAUUAAAUUGUCUCUAGAUGUGAAUACGUGUGAGCAAGGUGCCCUGCAAUGAAGUGUUUACAGGAUACGCUCCGGAUCACCUGCGACCCUGACCAGGAUAAAGCUGUGAAGAUGAAGAGAAUCUGGUGGAUCUGAUGGAACCCAGGAAUGCUGGUUGCGAGGCGGCACCAUUUCCCACUGCAGGACAGAAACAUGAGUGUCCAACAGGCUUCCUGAAACAUGUUCAAGCAGCAGCCACUUGAACAGAUCCGCAACACACCCAAGACUAUGGAAUAAAGAAGGACAUUGCUGGCAUCUCAGAUGGCUGUUAGGAUGCCCAUUCCCAUUGUAUAAUAAGAAUAAAGCCGAAACUUGGACCUACGUCUCUUAUCAGUUGAAAGUGUGAAAAGAAUGUGCAAGAAAGUCCUCUCCAGGGAGAUUCAUAUCCGUAAAUAUCUGCUUUUGACUUUUGUGCAGUGUAAAGCUGAACUGGAAUGCUGUGUUGUGACCCUAUGACCUCUGACCUGCCUUCUUCAGACACACCUGCAUGAGGUGCCGCUGAGACACACGCAACAGCAGCUUCCCUCUUUCUAUCUUUCUCACGGCCUUUUGUCCUGAGUGCCACAUUAUUGUCGUCAUUCCCUUAGGCGAGGGUUUGCCAGGAAGCUAAACUAAACACAUACCAAUGGAUUUUGUCUUCAUGUUACACACACUAAGGAAGUCAGAAGAUCAUUCAGUGUCUACAGUGUGAGCUGCCAUUUCUCUCCUCAAAUAUAAACCUGUUAGAGUGCUGGAAGUGUCAGAAGAUAAGAGUCAUUUGUGUGGAUUAAUCUGUCUGACAGUAUGAGUGGAUGGCUUAUAGCUGUGAGACUGUAAAUGUGACAUUUAUUUCAAAGCUAGUAGAAAAUAUGAGCUUAAGUAGUAGUAAUUGGUUUCAUGCAAAAACAUAAAAUACAAAGAGAUGUGUGUGUGCCUGUGAAAGUCGGGGCGCUGACAGCCAGUGUGUCUGUCCAUAGCCUGUAGGCAUUUCUACAGCUGAAAUUGUGGGUGUGGUUUGUUGGGAUUAAUCAGCAUAAUGCAAAAAUGGGCUGUGCGAUAUGCACUCAGUUAAUUGACAUGUGCAGCACGUCGGCUUCACAAGCUGGACCGAGAGCCAUGGAAAUGUCCGGCUUUCCAGAAGUCCCUCAGCAGGACUACCACAGACUGUCCGGUUUACACUACACUUCUUCUUUCUCUGAUGCAGAGGACUGCUGUGACGAAACGACCAGUACAAGCUCUUCCUCAGAUUACUUUGGCAUGGACGAUUGACAGAAUAUCUGUGUUUAUUGCCUUUAUUUAACCUAGGGAAAGUGCACUGAAGAGCAUCAUGAUGUCUGGGCACCUGGUCUUAAAUCCCCUUCUCUUUGUGCCAUGACCAAUAUUUGAAGUUCUUGGUCCAUGUCUCACACACUAUGCACUAUAUUCUAAAACCCUUAGACUAUGUACUUGGCUUUUAAGGACAUGAAUGUCUUAAAUUGCACUAAAAGUAAAUGCCAUUACUGCCCAGUACCUCACUGGACAACACCAGAACAGCCCCCACAAGAAUAACCCCCGGUUUUAAAUUCUAAAAUGGCUGCUCUAAAUUUUUUUUGUUACCAAUUUGAAUCUACGGAGUAGCAGCUGCCUCUGAUGCCCCUUUCUGCUAUAUAGAGCAGGCUAUGACCGGCAAGUGCAGAAAAUGUCCAGCGUUACACACAUCAGUUCUUGACUAUAUCUUAAUAGUGCUGCACGUCUCCCAGCAUGAACACACGCAAUUUGAGAAUUAGUUAUAGAUUUAAUUUUGAGCCAGAAUAUCACAAAGAUCGAAAAACUGCAAGAUCAGCAAACAAGAUAUUAUCAGCAUCUUAAAAUAGAAAAGGAAAAGUUGCUAUUACAAUAACAAUGCUAUAAUAAUAAUAAUAAUAAUAAUAAUAAUAAUAAUAAUAAUGUUAAUAAAAACUUCAUUUUCAGCUACAUAUAGUUUAUUUAGGUUCCUGUUGUUUAUUUUAUGGUUACUAAUGAUAUUUUGUGCUUUUUUUGGUUGUGGUUUUUUUUUGGUUGAAAUCAAGUAAUGGACCCUAAUGGUUUAUCAGCUGACCGGCGAGUGAUUCUACAUGUGUUUAAUGGUUUUCUAAUGAGAGUUAAAGGUCCUACAGGGAUUUGGCAGUCACUGCUGGAGACCCUGUGGUCAGAGAACUGGCAAAAAUUCAAUUAAGGUAAAACAAUUCAGUUUACUAAACGGAGAAUAGAUCCUGGAUCCAUAACUGAAUCAAGAAUGACUCAACUCUUGGAAACCAUUCAAUCCAUUAGAUCCUGAUGUGAAUACCGUGAUGUUUGAUGGAAACCACAGAUCAGUUCCCACUGGAGGGAAACAAUAUCUAAAAUAUGACAUGUUUUGCAUUUUUAUGCUUCUGGAAUAAUUUUGAAGAUCUUUAAUAAAUAUUUGGCAAAUGAA